AGUGGUUAAGCAUUUGGCUGUUAACCAAAAGGUUGGUGGUUCGAACCCACCAGCCACCG
rnacentral:tRNA from 1 species